rnacentral:rRNA from 1 species
CGCUGAGUUUGAUCCUGGCUCAGGAUGAACGCUAGCGGCAGGCCUAACACAUGCAAGUCGAGGGGUAGAGUAGCAAUACUUGAGACCGGCGCACGGGUGCGUAACGCGUAUGCAAUCUACCUUUUACAGAGGGAUAGCCCAGAGAAAUUUGGAUUAAUACCUCAUAGUAUGUGAGAAUCGCAUGGUUUUCACAUUAAAGUCACAACGGUAAAAGAUGAGCAUGCGUCCCAUUAGCUAGAUGGUAAGGUAACGGCUUACCAAGGCAAC